AUUGAACGCUGGCGGCAGGCCUAACACAUGCAAGUCGAGCGGAUGAAGGGAGCUUGCUCCUGGAUUCAGCGGCGGACGGGUGAGUAAUGCCUAGGAAUCUGCCUGGUAGUGGGGGAUAACGUCCGGAAACGGGCGCUAAUACCGCAUACGACCUGAGGGAGCAAGUGGGGGAUCUUCGGACCUCACGCUAUCAGAUGAGCCUAGGUCGGAUUAGCUAGUUGGUGGGGUAAAGGCCUACCAAGGCGACGAUCCGUAACUGGUCUGAGAGGAUGAUCAGUCACACUGGAACUGAGACACGGUCCAGACUCCUACGGGAAGCAGCAGUGGGGAAUAUUGGACAAUGGGCGAAAGCCUGAUCCAGCCAUGCCGCGUGUGUGAAGAAGGUCUUCGGAUUGUAAAGCACUUUAAGUUGGGAGGAAGGGCAGUAAGUUAAUACCUUGCUGUUUUGACGUUACCAACAGAAUAAGCACCGGCUAACUUCGUG
rnacentral:rRNA from 1 species